AAAAAAAAAAAGAAAGAAAAGAAAAAAAGAAAGAGAGAAAAAAGAAAAGAAAAGAAACACUUUCUUAUAAGUUGUCCCUUUUCUAAUUAAAGCCAAGACAUAGACAUCCCAACCAUUCUAAUUUCUAAAUGCUCAUUCCACUUAUAAAUUUCUUUCUCUCUCUCUCCUUCUCUCAUUUGGUCAUAUCACUUAUGUAUUUUCGUUCAACCACUUCUGUCUGUCUAGACAUGCUAUCCCUCUUUUCCUCCUACCUUCAAGAUGCUAUCCAGAGAGAAAACAAAGCUACUUCUGCAGAGAUGAGGCUCUUUUUUACAUGGGGAUCCCAAGAGUGGAUAAGAUGAGAUGAACAAGGACAGACUCCAUGUUGUGCCCUUUUGCUUUCUCCUUUUGCAUUAAACAGAUUGGUAAUCUAGACCCUAUUCCUAUUCUUGAUUGCUUUUUAGAUGUUAGAGUGGAUGCAGGGCCUCUAGAUCAGAAGUCUGUGGUUUUAUUAAAAAACAAAACAAAACAACAUUGGACAGAAGCUGAUGUUCUUCCAAAAUCAGCAGCCAUGAAUGUCCUGAAGAAACCGUUGCUUCUAUAAAACACGAAGCUGAACAGGAGCUACCAAAAUUGAGGCUCUGAAAACUGUGUUUUCCUUUUCUACAGAAGUAUUAAGAAGGAAGAAUUUACUGUCCUUUGUUAAUAGGAACAAAUGUACAAUGUGAAAGAAAGAAAGUGAAGAAGAAGAAGACAAUUUCUCCCAGCCAAACCAUCAUCAUCGUUAUUUCUCUUCCUGUCAUAAAGGACAAGAGAAAGGGCCGGCUUUCUUCUAAUUCAAAUAUAUUGUAUUGGUGGGUUUAUUCACUCUCACAAAUUCUAUAUGUAAUAGCUCAAAUAAUAUUCCUUAAACACUUUCAUAAGUAGUACUUCUAAGUUCCACUUU